GACAUAAUUCCCGUUUUCUCCCGCACGGCCGCACCCACCACCCCACCGCCGCCGGAAACCCCAGCCGAUCGACGGUGGCGGAGAUGUCGUUGUCCUCGGUGAAGAUCGGCGAGGAGGUGUGGCUCACAUGCCUCUCCCACGCCCUCACUACCGAGACCGAGGAGGUCAUGGGGCUCCUCCUCGGCGACAUCGAGCUUUCCAGCAAGGUCGCCACAGCCCUGGUAUGGGGGGCGUCGCCGCAGAUGAGGUGCGAGCGGAAGAAGGACCGCGUCGAGCUCAACCCCGAGCUUCUCGCCGCCGCAUCCGCGCAAGCCGAGAAAAUGACGGCCACCAUCAAGAGGACUACGAGGGUGAUCGGAUGGUACCACUCGCACCCACAUAUCACCGUUCUACCGUCCCAUGUAGAUGUUCGUACCCAAGCAAUGUUUCAGUUGCUGGAUACAGGCUUUGUGGGCCUUAUAUUUUCUUGUUUUAGUGAAGAUGCUCAAAAGGUUGGAAAAAUCCAAGUGACUGCCUUUCAGUCAGAGGGUGGACAACAGCAUCCCCUUCCUCUUGCCAUCGAUCCAGUCAUUGACCUUGAUUCAUCCUGUAGUUCAUCAGAUAAUGUGUCCGCUUCACAUUCUGCAUCGGUUGAAGGCAUGGAACAGGACACAGGGGAUUCCAGGGUCUCAAAGAAUAACAAGGCCUGGAGAAGAUCUAUGGAUUCUACUCCCAUCAUGACACAAAUCAUUCCACAAAUUAUGAACCCAGAGAAAGCGUACUCGUUCCGCACAAUCCUGAUAACACACAAGAAGCGUAUGUUGAUCCAUAUGAUUCAGAUAUGACUCCAAGCCUCCUGGAGGCUUUGCACUGGUCAACUAUGGACAUAAGUGGUGCAGAGUAUAGAGGGAAGGAGGUACCACUUCUUGUGGUCCCUACAAGGUAUCUCCUCAAGCUGGACACCACGAUGAUCUCUUACUGUGAUAUGCAGCGAGUCCUCUUUGAAGAGGAGAAAUCAGCAUAUAAUCAAGCUAUGCAACAAAAUAUUUGUGAUGGGAAGAUUCACCCUCUUACAUCCAUUCACCAUACAUCUACAUACAACUCUCUCUGCAAACUAAUGGAGUACUGGAUCGCCUGAAGGAAAAUGAACUUCGGGUGAAUAGACUAGCCUGCAUCUUUUGACGACUCUUGGCCUUGUAAGUCAUUAGCAUUGAACCUGCAUGUGUCAGCUAUCAAUGUUACAAGAGGAGGCUAAGCAACUUGAGGCUGAUACCCAAAACAUGAGAAACGGUUCUCCUCGUCGCCUCAUGAAUCAUGGAGCUGGUGGCAAGAGUUCACCUACGGCUCAGAGCAGGCAUCCUUUCUCCAACCAAGGGAGCCCUAGAAGCCCGAGCGGUGGCAGCCGGAGGAGGGCUUGUUGAUGAUCCUGUUCCGCCUGAUCCAUUGGCUUGUGGCUUAACCAGAUGCUCCCUGAAUCCCCAGAUAUAUGAUGGAUGGACGAAGUGCCCCGGCAAUAGCACUGUACCUGUACAUACCCAUUGCCGUCCAGCGCUGUGCUGUUGUCGAAUCCCAACGGUCUCACUUUGCUUUGUAGUAUUGGCCUAUUGGGGUUCCUUAUCCUGUUGUCGGAGUUGUGCCAUUAUCCUUUCCAUGGUUGACCUGAGCUUUAGCCUGUACACUGUAGACUCUACUAGAGGUUUACCUGAGGCUGAAUUCCCGCUGCUAAGAUGUGAUGUUCCCGGCCAUAAGCAAAGAUGCAGGUUGUCUUUGCUUUGUAAAGAUGAAGGUUGUCUUUGUUUUGUAAUCGAAAAAAAAACCCUCCGACUUCGAUAGCAAUCCAUUUCUUGAAACGAUAUAGCU